ACGUAGGUGGCGAGCGUUAUCCGGAAUGAUUGGGCGUAAAGGGUGCGUAGGCGGACGAUCAAGUCCGGAGUGAAAGAUGUCAGCUCAACUGAUAUAGGCUCUGGAAACUGGUCGACUAGAGGACAGGAGAGGGCGGUGGAACUCCGUGCGUAGCGGUAAAAUGCGUAGAGAUAUGGAAGAACACCAGUGGCGAAGGCGGCCGCCUGGACUGAACCUGACGCUGAGGCACGAAAGCGUGGGGAGCAAAUAGGAUUAGAUACCCUAGUAGUCCACGCCGUAAACGAUGAGGACCAGGUGUCGGGGGUAGAACCUCGGUGCCGGCGUUAACGCUAUGAGUCCUCCGCCUGGGGAGUAUGCACGCAAGUGUG
rnacentral:rRNA from 1 species